GAAGCUCCAAGUUCAUUGAACGUCCAACUUCCCUGCAAUUCCACCGAAGACUUAACCCCACAAUCCUCUCUCUCCCGAUUCCUUCGUGCGACACCAGCACCAGCAGAGAGAAAGGAGCCCAGCUUCUUCAAUCUUCGGUCAGCUUGCACCAAAAGAAAGGCCACGUCCUCCCUCCACCGAAACCGCAGCUCCUUCGCACGCCUGCAACUAGCCCCCCUUGUCCACGUUUCUCUCCACUUGUUCUUGUCUCCUUACCGUUUGUUGACUGAAGACCAUCGAGCGAAGCUCCACCGGGUGCAGACGUCUUCAGCCACGCGUCUCCACCGAAUCAAACUCACGCGGUCAAUCUUCAGCGAAGAAGACCACCUUGCUGCAUCUGAGCGGCGCUGUGUCCACCUUGGUCGGCCACUCACGCCUGCUCUCCACCAACGUUGGUCUUUUCUCCUCAAGUCACCGAAAUCCGCUCGAAGCCAGCAUCAUUCGGCCACCUCUCCUCCCUGCAUGGUCAACAAACCGAGCCAGUGUUGACCUAGCAUCAGACCAGCGAACUCCACAUCAACUCCUCUUCAUUCGUCCGCUUCUCUGCCGCUUCACACGCCCGCAGCAGUCCACGUUCCCAGCGAAUCCUGCCGCGUCUUCCUCAACUCACGUCUUCAGCUGAAGCCGCGCCCUCUCUCCAGCUCGCCAGCACCACCGAAGGAAGAAGUCUCCACGCGUCCGAGUCUGCUCUUGGCUCGGUCAACAACGGCAGCAACCGAAGCUACUUGGUUGACCGCAAAAGCCCCACAACCGUGCAGCAGCUCCUUGGACCACCGAAGCCGCAAGCCCAGCCCAACGUCUCUUGCGGAUUCCCUUGUUCGGCCCAGCAGCUGGACCACUUGAAGUCCACGCAAAUUCCAGCCUAGUGAAUUUCUUUUGGGCCACAAGUUAGGCCCAGCAAAUUUAGCUCCAAAGCCCAGCAAGGCCAGCAGUUUUCAGCCCAAGAGAUCAGCCCAUUUUCAGCUUAGUUCAAGUCCAGCAAGUUGCAAGCCCAAUUAAGUUCAGCCCAGUCCAAAGGAAGCCCAGCCCGUGAGCUUCAGUCCUUUGGGCCACCGAAUUCAGCACAAGAUCAGCAAGCCCAGUUCAGCUAGCGCAGUUAGUUCAGUCCAGAAAUUCAGCAGGUCCAGCCCAUUCCAGUGCAAGAACAAAUCUCAAUUGGACUGAGAUUUGUUGGGCCCAAGUUAAAGGCCCGACCCAAGUCCGCCGGUGUUGUCGAAAGUUCGAUUUCGGCCGCCGUCGCGUCGCCGUUGCGGUGAUUCGAUCCCCGCUUUUGAUCAAGUGAGUUUUACUCACUAAUGCUUUAUUAGUUUGCUAAUUAUGCUUAAGGUUGGUUAGAUUUAAUUAAGUGCAAUUAGGUGGUUAGAUUAGGUUAGAACAAUUAAUUUAGUGACUUGAUGAUGCAUGUUAGGUGGUUAGACCUAGCUAUUAGCAAGUAGAAAUGUUUGGUUAUUUAUUGAAUGCAUCUCGGGAUUUUUCCCGACCCGUUUCGGGCUCCAAUAAGGCAAUAUGGGCCUAAAUUGGAUUUUCAAUGUUUAUUUAUUUAUUUUCGAAAUUCAUUUAUUUAAUUAAUUAUUUUUCCGGAAAUUCAACCGGGAUGGCCGGUGACCGGAAUUUCGUGCUGAUUGUCGUGGUGUAGCUCGUUUAUUCAUUUGAGCUCUACGUUGUGUGGAAUUGAAUUAAUUGUGAAAUUUGAGGAUUUAUCCUUAAAUGUUUGUUAUUGAAUAUUUGAUUGGUAAUGGCCAAGCAUGGGUAUAUAGCGCCAGUACGUUGAUGGGCUAUAUAGUAGGGAGAACGGUGAGAGUUAACUGAGAAUGUUAUUGGUUGAGACCAAUCAGGUAUGAUGUUAUUGGACAUACGUGGUUCGGUGAUUGGAAGUAUCACUGGCGAAAACGGCGCCUUAAAGAACGCACGUAAAUGACUUAUAGACAAAUGUGGUUCGGUGGUUAUGGGAAUACCACUGGUGAAAACGGCGCCUUAAAGAACGCACGAUGUUGUCUAUAGCCGAUGUCACCUUGGCGAAAACGGAGCCCUUGAAAGGACACGUGGUUCGGUGAUCAAGGUUAUCACUGGUGAAAACGGCGCCUUAAAGAAUGCACGGUGUCGGUGAUCGGUAUGUCAUUGGCGAAAACGACGCCCGAGAAACACAUGUGAUUUGGUGAAUAAGUACACCACUGGGAAAUCGUGGUAUGAGUGGGAAUGACCUAGAAAGGGUCUGGCUGACAUGUAAUCGACUUAGUCGAUUGACCAGUGCUUGAUCGGAUGUCGUGAAUUGUUUGAAUAUCUGUGUUUAACCUUGAAUUGCAGGUUGGAACUGAGGCUAAGGUAAGUCCUCUGACUCGUGUUGUGCUUAGGCAACUGUAUGGUGUAUUAGUUUACUAAUCGAGUCGUAGGGGGUAGGACUCGCUGAGACGUGGUCUCAUUGGUUAUUGAAUAACCAUUUCAGGACCCUGAGGAAAAGCUGAGGAGGAAGAACCUGAAGGGGAGAAAGUAUUUUGAAGUAGAAGAUGAUCCAGAGAGGGAUCUUGAGUACAACCCAGAUGUGGAUUGAGAUCCCAUCCCUUUUGUGCACCCUGUCUUAGUGUAGAUAGGUGUGAGACUUUUAUGUUGUAAAUAGUAUUGUAAAUAUACUAUGAGUUGUGCUGUUAAUGAAAGUGUGGUUAUGAAUUUCAA
rnacentral:lncRNA from 1 species